UGAGCCCAGCAUUGUCACGCUUU
rnacentral:siRNA from 1 species